GCAGACUCACUCUGUUCUUUGCUGUUCACUCCAGCCUGGAACUUUUGUUGACUGCUACAUGACCAUGCAGAAUGUAACACGUUACUACCUUUCUGAAAGGCUGGUGUCCUUAUGUUCUGCUACAUUACA